CCCUAGUAACGGCGAGUGAAGCGGCAACAGCUCAGAUUUGAAAUCUGGCGUCUUUGGCGUCCGAGUUGUAAUCUGUAGAGGAUGCUUUUGGGUAGCCACCGGUCUAAGUCCCCUGGAACGGGGCGUCACAGAGGGUGAGAAUCCCGUAUGUGACCGGAAGGGCGCCCUCUACAUAGCUCCUUCGACGAGUCGAGUUGUUUGGGAAUGCAGCUCUAAAUGGGAGGUAAAUUCCUUCUAAAGCUAAAUACCGGCCAGAGACCGAUAGCGCACAAGUAGAGUGAUCGAAAGAUGAAAAGCACUUUGGAAAGAGAGUUAAAAAGCACGUGAAAUUGUUGAAAGGGAAGCGCUUGCAACCAGACUUGUUGGCGGUGUUCCGCCGGUCUUCUGACCGGUUUACUCACCGUCUGCAGGCCAGCAUCAUCUGGGGCCGCUGGAUAAAAGCGAGGGGAAUGUGGCUCCCCCGGGAGUGUUAUAGCCCCUCGUGCAAUACAGCGAGCCUCGGGUGAGGUCCGCGCUUCGGCUAGGAUGCUGGCGUAAUGGUCGUAAGCGGCCCGUCUUGAAACACGGACCAAGGAGUCUAACAUCUAUGCGAGUGUUCGGGUGUCAAACCCCUACGCGUAAUGAAAGUGAACGGAGGUGGGAGCCUUAGGGUGCACCAUCGACCGAUCCUGAUGUCUUCGGAUGGAUUUGAGUAAGAGCAUAGCUGUUGGGACCCGAAAGAUGGUGAACUAUGCCUGGAUAGGGUGAAGCCAGAGGAAACUCUGGUGGAGGCUCGCAGCGGUUCUGACGUGCAAAUCGAUCGUCAAAUUUGGGUAUAGGGGCGAAAGACUAAUCGAACCAUCUAGUAGCUGG
rnacentral:rRNA from 1 species